rnacentral:lncRNA from 1 species
GUUUCAGUCAUCAGUAAAUAUACUGCCGACUGAAACUGCACUUGCGUGGUGAAUUUGAAAUUUUUCAUAGCAAAUUAUUUUAUUUGCUAAAAAAAUUUUGAAACCCAGGUCUGACUGGAAUAAAAUAACAAGGUAAAAGUUUUUAUUUUUCACUCUUUUGAAGAUUGCUCUUAAAUGUGGUUUUGGUCGUUUUAGCUACUUCUUCUAGCGUGUAAAAACUGCCUGUUGAAGGCAGUUUUCUCUUGUGUUUAAAUGUACACUAUUUAUAUAUAUAUACACACACACAUAUAUAUAUAUUUACCUUGAUGAAGCUAUCAAGUAGUUAAAGCCAUAUAUAAUAGAUAAAGCUAUAUAUAAUAACAUGAAGAAUAUUGGGUUUAAGAAACCUUGAGAAAAAAAUGUUGAAAGCUGCCCGUGGGACACGAACCCAUAUCUUCUGCAGUUUUGACAAAUUUGCUGCCAUUACACCAAAACAAUUCUUCGAAUUUCCUCUAUCUGUUUUAAAAGCUUUAUACUUACCAACAAAAUUGCAUGCUGUUCACUUUAUUAUAAGAAUUUUUUUUUAUACUUUAAGAAACUUUGAGAGACACAAAAGGAACUGUUUUAAUGGUGGAACUCAAAGUAGAUAAAGCUAUAAAUAAUAGCAUGUAAAUUAUAGGAAUAAAAUAUUAAAUAAUGUAAACAACAUAGAUUUCUCACUAAACAGGACAAAGUUUCUAAAUCGGAUAAAGAAAAUUCAAAAGAUUGCUUAGGUAUAAUGGUAGUAUCUACCAUGACUCAGAAGAUCUGGGUUUGAGGCCCUCAGGCAGCCUCUUGAUUUUUUUUUAUAUCAAAGGCUCUUUUUAACCUAAUAUUUUACAUCUAUUAUUUAUAGAUAUACCUACAUUAAAGAAGUUUAUUUCAUAUCUCUCCCAGUUUCUAAAGAUACAUACAUCAGUUUAUUUCAAACAUAUCAGGGCUAAUUCAAGGGAGACAACAAUUAAUAUUUUCCUAUAAAUUAACUCCCAUGAUCUGUAUAUUCAUUUAUUGCCAAAUCCCAUACAAUCUCGUGUAGAUUCAUGUAUUCUCCUUGAAGAUGGAGAUAAGUACCAAAGUUCUCAUGUGGCAGGCUUGAUAAUUUGUUGAGAGAUUUCUCUCUGCAUGAACCAUUGUUAGCUUUGUUAAUCUACAAACAAAGUGUGUGUGUGUGUGUGUGUGUGUGUGUGUGUGUGUGUGUGUGUGUGUGUGUGUGUGUGUGUGUGUGUGUGUGUACAUAAUCAGAAUAAUGGCAAAGGAUGUGUAUGAUAGUUAAUGUAAAAGACAAAAGAACAGACAUAGAUAAAUUUAUUUCAUAAACUGAGUUUUUAUUCAGAGUUGUUUUGAUUUCGGUGCUUGGAAAAGUUUAUAUACAUCAUCGUCUGGAAAGUGUCAGAGUUCAAACAAACCAAAACAAAGACAAGCCUUACAAAUGAAAAUAUCCAAUAUUUUUUUUUUAAAAAGUGUUGCAUCUGAAAACAAACAGGAUAAAGAUAACAACUGGUGUGAAAAACAAGAACAAAUACAGAGUAUAAACAUAGAAAGUGUCUUUUGACGUAAGACAGAGAUGAACAAAGAAAAUACUAGCAUAGUCAAAAACAUGAAAAGACUGUUAGAUUUCAUCUUUGGAGAAUAGCUUCUUCCUUUUACAUGAUAUGUAUUGACAAAAUACAUGCCUCAGUGAGAUAGCAGACUCUAAGAAACUGAUCUUCCAACACAAUUCUGCAGUUUCAGUCAGUGACACUAUCUGGAACUCUGAAUCUAAAUAAGAAUGGCUGUUCUUUAAGGCACUGAGCUGGCAGAAUCGUUAGUAUGCCGAACAAAAUGCUUACCGGUAUUUCGCUGCCGUUACAUUCUGAGUUUAAAUUCCACUUUGCCUUUCAUCCUUUCAGGGUCGAUAAAUUAAGUACCAGUUACACACUGAGGUCUAUGUAAUCAACUUAAUCCCUUUGUCUGUCCUUGUUUCUCCCAUCUAUGUUUAGCUCCUUGUGGGCAAUAAAGAAAUAAGAAUGGUUGUUCUUAUUCAUAGAAUUCAAGAAACAGAAUAUUUGCUUAUGCAGGCUAAGACUUGCUAAGUCUUAGUCUAAGGUGAUAUAAAAUUAUUACAAUCAUGCAAAACUGUAAGAAAAUAUAGACGUGUAUUUUUCAUUCUGCACUUGUUCCAGCUUAGGAUGUGAAUAUGAUUUUUGCUAAUGGAUUUAGUUAUCAGACAACAACCUUUCCUUUUAAUAUAUACAUACAGUUAAUAUUAUUUGGGGAGUGUGUUGGCAGAAUACAUUAAGAUUGGAAAUCAAAAAACCUCUGUAUUUAGUAAGCAAAAUGGGGUAGAUAAAUAGUAUGUAUAUUCCAUGCAUCCUUUUCUUCUUUAAUUUCAAGUUCAAACUCCUAAUCCCACCAGAUACUUUGAUGAAAUUAUCUUACUUAUCUGAGACCCCCUUUGGUCACGACAUAGACCAUGGGAUUGCACCUAGAAAGUUACCCUCCCAGGCACAAAUCCGAGCAAGGUUGUUUAUGGCAGACCAGCAGUCGCCCAUGCAUACUGGCCUCCCCUCUCCACACCACCAGUAUUAUCCAAGGGAAAGGCAAAGGCUGAUACAGAUUGGCACCUGUGACAUCGCAACUCAUUUCUACAGCUGAGUGAACUGGAGCAACAUGAAAUAAAGUGUCUUGCUCAAGAACACAACAUGCAGCCCAGUCCGGGAUUCGAACUCACAACCUCACGAUCGUCAGCUCGAUGCUCUAACCACUGAGCCAUGUACCUUCAUUAUACCUUAUAUUCAUUGUCUGUUAGGGGACAUCACCUCAUUAAUAUUAUUAUUAUUAUUAUUAUUAUUAUUAUUAUUAUUGAAUGAGAGAGCAGUGCAUGUCAUCGAAGUGACACUGGGGUAAAAUAUACGAAGCCCAGUAUACCCAUCAUGACUACCUGUCUGAUAAGGAUACACCAGGCACAUGCAUCACAACCAUAUGUGCGCGACAUGGUGAUCUCAUAUCAAGAUAAACAGGACAUGACCUUGCAGGUAGGGCCCAGUUAGAAUUUUCUUCUGGUCGAGUAACCCAUCCUGCUCAAAAGGUCCCUGAUAAGGGUUGCUUAAGGAUGUUGAACAAACCACCCAUGUUUCCAGAGGUGAAUUAUUCAAACCCCAAAGAAUCCCUCUCAACAAAUGGCUAUGAUGCUCCCCCACUACUUCUACUUGUAAUCAGACAUGCACAUAUCGUCAGCCACUAAGGGAUAUGCUCAACUGGUUACGGUCAAACAACUGACAGGCAAAUCUGUGGUAUUGAGCAGAAUAUUUGCUGUAGCUCAUCUUUUAUACCAAGACAAAACAAUGUACAUGAUAACACUUCCAAUUAGUUAAGAUCAGAAGCCAUGAGAGCCACUGCUGGUACUGCAUCAGUAUUAUUAUUAUUAUUAUUAUUGAGUGAGCAAGCAGAGCAUGUCAUCAAAGUGACACUGGGGUAAAAUAUACGAAGCCCAGUAUACCCAUCAUGACUACCCGUCUGAUAAGGGUACACCAGGCACAUGCAUCACAACCAUAUGUGCGCGACAUGGUGAUCUCAUAUCAAGAUAAACAGCACAUGACCUUGCAGGUGGAGCCCAGUUAGAAUUUUCUUCAGAUCGAGUAACCCAUCCCGCUCAAAAGGUCCCUGAAUAAGGGUUGUUUAAGGACGUUGAACGAAACACCCAUGUUUCCAGAGGUGAAUUAUUCAAACCCCAAAGAAUCCCUCUCAACACAUGGCUAUGAUGCUCCCCCACUACUUCUGCUCGUGAUCAGAGAUGCACAUAUCGUCAGCCACUAAGGGACAUGCUCAACUGGUUAAGGUCAAACAACUGACAAGCAAAUCUGUGGUAUUGAGCAGAAUAUUUGCUGUAGCCCAUCUUUUAUACCAAGACAAAACAAUGUACAUGAUAACACUUCCAAUCAGUUAAGAUCAGAAGCCAUGAGAACCACUGCCUGGUACUGCAUCAGGGCAUUUAUUAUUAUUAUUAUUAUUAUUAUUAUUAUUAUUAUUAUUAUUAUUAUUGUUAUUAUUAUUAUUAUUGUUAUUAUUAUUAUUGUUAUCAUUAUUAUUAUUGUUAUUAUUAUUAUUAUUAUUAUUAUUAUUAUUAUUAUUAUUAUUAUUAUUAUUAUUAUUAUUAUUAUUAUUAUUAUUGAGGCCGACUUCAUCUUUUGUCCUUUCAGGGUUGGUGAAAUAAGUACCAAUCGAGUAUUAAGGGUUGAUAUAAUCAACUAAUCACCCUCACUAAAUUUCAGGCAUUGUGCUUAUAGUAGAAAAGAUUACUAUUAUUGUUAUUAUUAUUAUUUCAUGUUUGACUUAUGCUUUACAUUUGUACAAGUUGGCUCCAAGUCUCACCCAGAGACCUCAAGAGAUAACAAGUUAGAAGUUCAUGCUGGUGUUAUGCCUAGGGUGCCAUAUAUUUGGUUUUUGUACACAGCCUUGUUCUAGAGAAUGUUUUUAUCAUGGGGGAGGUCCCAUGAUAAUAAUGAUAAUAAUAAUAAUAAUAAUAAUAAUAAUAAUGAUAGUUGUGUACAGUGCUCAGGUGCACUACAACUCAUCUAAAGUGUAUAUAUAAUCAGGUGUAGUUUCGGCGGAUUUUGGAAAGCAUGAGGGCCUUAAAGGAUGCAGUGUCAUGGCAGUCAACAACUGACGCAGGCAGUUUAUUCCAUGCUUCAGCAACUCUGAGCGUGAAAAAUUGUUUCCGAAAGUCAUGGGAGCUGUGUUGUUUUCUGACUUUGUAGGCAUGUCCACGUGUGUUAGACGCAUGGAGAUCAAAAAGGUGUUCAGUGCUGUUGUUGGUGAGGUGGUUGAUAACUUUGUGGGUGUUUACCAAGUCCGUCGCCAGACUCCGGAGCUUAGUCAACAGCAUUAUUAGUUUUCUUUGGGUAUUUGCCAUUGGGAGGUUUUUAUUGCCAUUUAUGAGUAAGCAUAACUAAAGCAGCAGUUUUAGAAAGGGUUCUCAUGUGCUUAGCUUUUUCUGUGCUUGUUUCCAUUAUGUCUAAUCCUGGAAUUUGUCGUAUUUGGAAGUCACUUAGAUUUAUUAUUAUUGCUGUUGUUGUUGUUAUGUUCUUUUAUUCUUUACUAGUUUCAGUCAUUGUGUGCAUAUACAUACAUGUGUGCGUGCACACACACACACGUGCAUAUAUAUAUAUAUAUAUAUAUAUAUAUAUAUAUAUAGAUAGAUAGAUAGAUAGAUAGAUAGAUAGAUAGAUAUAUAAAUAGAUAGAUAGAUAGAUAGAUAGAUAUACAGGGUGUCCCAAAAAAUGUAUACACACCUUAAAUAAUUGUAAAUUUGUUAUUCUUUGUAAGCCUAGUACUUAUUCUAUCGUUCUCUUUUGCCGAACCACUAUGUGUAUACAUUUUUUUGCGACACCCUGUAUAUUUCUUUAUUGCCCACAAGGGGCUAAACAUAGAGGGGACAAACAAGGACAGACAAAGGGAUUAAGUCGAUUACUUCGACCCCAGUGCGCAACUGGUACUUUAUUUAUCGACCCCGAAAGGAUGAAAGGCAAAGUCGACCUCGGCGGAAUUUGAACUCACAACGUAACGACAGACGAAAUACGGCUACGCAUUUCGCCCGGCGUGCUAACAUUUCUGCCACACACACAUGCAUGCAUGCUCAUUAUAUCAGUAUCAACAGUAUCAGUUCUUCUUGUGCUCUUUAGCUCCUCUGACAGCAAGUUGACACCACUGGUUUCUGUUCACUCUACAACCGCCCAUGUGAUUUUGGCUUCUUUGAAAUCAGUUAUGAAUGUUCUUGCUGUUUAUGGCUUUUCCCCUUUUCUUUUUCCCUUCGGUGAUGUCCAUUUCAAAGCUGUUUUAGAAUGGCAUCAUUCUGGUAGGUGAGGUAUAUGACCUGCUAGUUUUAGCCUUCAUUCUCUGAUGAUUUCGCUUAUUGCAUAUACACAAAUAUUAUGGGUUAAAAUGGGGAGGGGUAAUAAACAAAUUAAGCUUCUCAUAAAGGAAUUAUCAUAAUUUAUACACCACUUUUGUUUUUAAAUAACAUAUAAAUACUAGCUGAAUUCAAUUAUAUAUAUAUCUAUAUCUAUCUAUCUAUCUAUCUAUCUAUCUAUCUAUCUAUCUAUCUAUCUAUCUAUCUAUCUAUCUAUCUAUCUCUCUCUCUAUAUAUAUAUAUAUAUAUCACCGUGAUCACCGUGAUCGACCAGGCUAUCAGAUGUUGCUACACAUCGCUGGUCACAAUGCGCUUUGCAUUGUUUUAGCCUUCAAAUGACGCCACCCCGUUGGCUAAGCGAGCAGGCCAACAGAAGAAGAAAGAGUGAGAGAAAGUUGUAGCGAAAGAGUACAGCAGGGAUCGCCACCAUCCCCUGCCGGAGCCUCGUGGAGCUUUAGGUGUUUUCGCUCAAUAAACACUCACAACGCCUGGUCUGGUAAUCGAAACCGCGACCCUCCGACCGCGAGUCUGCUGCCCUAACCACUGGGCCAUUGCGCCUCCACACACACACACACACACACACACACACACACACACAUAUAUAUAUAUAUAUAUAAAUAUAUAUAUCUAUAUAUAUAAAACUCUAGUUGUGUGAGUGUCUGUCCCCUUCGAUUUAGAUUCCUAACUCCUCCCACAUUUUGCGGUGCAGUUUAACCAAAUUCGGGUAUCUUAUAGUCGUGAUUCAUAUCGAGCCCGUCUGACUAUUAGCGCGCGUCAACGAUGAGUCUACGAUUUUAAAAAUAAUUUAACAUCAUUUUUUAUUCCAUUUUAAUGCAUAAAAUGCAUUGUAUGUCGAUGGCGGCGGAGUUGGCAUCCACGCUCACAGCUGCACCUGUUUGCUUCUCCCCCUUCCCUCCCUCGUGAAGCUGUGGGGAAGGGAGUGUAAAGAAAUCAACGUCGUAAUGCGUUGUGAAGGAAACCAGCGUUCUUUUAGAACAACGACUUCAUGGCUUGAAGACACCAAAACAAAAAUGGCUAAGAAAGCCCGAAUUUAUAAGGGAAGUAACUCUCUAAAAAUGCUUAUAUAGUUAUUUCCCUUACAAACCCGAGCAACGCCGGGCGAUACUGCUAGUAUAUAUAUAAAUAUAUAUAUAUAUAUAUAUAUAUAUAUAUAUAUAUAUAUAUAUAUAUAUAUAUAUAUAUAUAUAUAUAUAUAUCCCUUUAGUUUUUACAAUUCCACUAUCACUGCCACCAUUGUUGUUAAUAGUUCUAUAUUAUUUCAUGUUCUUAGAUAAUAUACUUUUGUUGUUGGUCUUCUUCUUAGAGGUAAAAAUUGCCAUAAAUUGUUUACUUCUUCAACAUUGGUUUGUAAGCUGAGAAGGCCACAUUACUAAAAUUCAAGAUUGAUUAUUAUUCAGAUUAAUACAGACAGUCUUUAAGAGGAUUACCUAUUGAUAAGAGCUUAAGCAGAUUUUUGUAUGUCCUUGUUGAUCGGGAUUUGUCUCGUAAAUAUGGCUUUAGUAUUGUUAAGAAGAUAACUGUGAGGUUUGCACAAUAUAUAUUUGAUCAAUAAUAUAAUUGUGAACGACUGUCAUGAAUAUUAUUUUAUAAUUUUAAAAUAAAACAUUUUCAAUUAUCCUUUUAGUAAUUUUAUAACAGAUUUGGAUGUAAUAAAAGUAACAUAACAACACUUUACUGCAAGUAAAAUAAGUUCAGUCAGAUACACUGUGUCCCACAUUAUUAGGCAAAUCAACCUUCUCUCAAUAAAUAAAUGUAUGUUCAUUCGAAACCAGUUGUUUUCGCACUGACUGUUGGCAACACCUACCUGUGCACUUUCUGUUAAAAUAAAUCAGAUCUGCGCAAAUGUCAACAAAUGGCACCCAUUUUUGUGAUUGAGCAACAUUUUCACAAUCACAAAUUAUUAGGCAAGUAUAAUAAAAAUUAUAACUGAGUCAGAACAAAUGUUUAUUUAAUUCAACAGUAAAGGUUUAAAAAAAAAUUAUUCAUAAAGGACUUAAUGGUAAACAUAAUAAUAUGUUCGAAUGAAAGUAAUCUUGGGAUUAUGAUGUCAUACAGCUCCUUAUGUUGGAUGUAUGAUCCUCCACAUGCAAUAAUCUCCCUUACACGCUGAUCCAUUGAUUUUGUUAAAGUGAUGAUGUUUUCUUGUGUUGUGCCUUGGGAAGUAUCUACAAUAGCAUCCCAGAGGGCAACUUUACUUGAAAACUGCUGUCUAUCUUGGUAAAUGUGUCUCAUCAGGAUACUCCACAGGUUCUCAAUCAGGUUUAAGUCUGGGGAACAAGGUGGCCACUCCAUCAAACCACCUCCGGAGAAGCCUAUUUGCUGCAGGUAUUCCUUAGAAUUCUUCACUGCAUGAGACAGGGCAUUAUCUUGCAUGAAGUUGCUUUUUAAACCAUGCUUGGAAAUUGUUUUUUAAGAAGGUAACAUAUAUUUUCGAUGUCAUCUUAAUGCCAUCUGGCCCGACCAUCAUACCACCAUACUUUCCAUGGCCUGACCAUCAUACGACCUAUGAUGCCAGCCCAAAACAUGGCUCCACCUCCCCCCCUGUUGGUGUCUCGGACGAUGAGGAUGGUUCCUGCUGAUGGAUACCCAACCAUUUUUCUCCAGCCAUCUGGUUCAUCAAGGGCAGCAUGGCAUUCAAGCUUUGAAACAAUGGUAGACUUCUCAUUCGAGUUAAGAUCACGUUUCUGACCCAUAACGACACUUAAAUUGAGCACCUGCCUAAUAAUUUGGGACAGCAGAAAUGUUGCUGCUACAUGUUAAUGGUCACCAUUUGUUUUUGUCUGUGCAGAUCUGAUUUAUUUGCCAACAGUCAGUGGGAAAAUAACUGGUUUUGAAUGAAUAUACAUUUAUUUAUUGAUUUACCUAAUAAUGAGGGACACAUCGGUAAAAGAACUGAUAGAAUAAGUACCAGGCCUAUAAGAAGAGAAUAAGCACUGGGAUCGAUUCAUUCGACUAAAAAUUAUCCAAGGCGGAGCCCCAGCAUGGUCGCUGUCUAAUGACUGAAACCGAUGAAAGAUAAAAGAUAACUAUUAAUAAGCACCUGGUCCUUCCACUAGCAAUCCGCCAUCACCUACCAAUGUUUAAGCUUGUAAAUUAGUUUCGAGAACAACUAUGGAUGUUUAACCUAGUUAAUAUUAUAUAUCCACACGUGAAUGCUCAGCCUUUGAUCUGCAUGUGACUUUGACUACCAACCAACAUUUUCUACCUACAACUGUAAGGUCAAGUAAUACUGAUUUAGUACGAUUUCAAGUCUAUGAUCAAUUUUUAAAAAAUGAGAGAAUGAGCGCAGUUAACAAGCUUGCUUUGCUACCAUGUGGUUUUGAGUUCAGUUCCACUGCACAGCAUUUUGGGUAUCUUCUACUAUAGCCCUAGGUUGGCCAAUGCCUUGUGAGUAAGUGUCAUCGAUAGAGUCUGCACAGAAUCUCAUAAUAUAUACAACGAGCAAAACGCCCCCCACUAGACGGUGCUGAGUUGUCAAACAUUUAAACCAAAUUUUCUCAAAACAACUUGUCUGUCAACCUGUACAUAACUGCACCUUCCAUUUUUUAUUGUUUUUGUACUGCUUAAAGGCACGUUUCUUUCCUGCCAAGCUUACUGUUUAAACCAUGUUUGUGUUCUCCCAGUCAGCAGCCGUAUCAUUACUGGUACUUUAAACUCUUCGGUUGCAUAUUUGAGUGAAUAAAAUCGUUUUUCUUUGGAAUAGAAAAAAGUCUAUCUUUAUUUCUUCUUUUGCUGGUGUCUCAAAUUUAGGUUAAACCACUGGUCAUUUCCCCAACUUUAUAAUAAUAAUAAUAAUAAUAAUAAUAAUAAUAAUAAUAAUAAUUAUUAUUAUUAUUAUUGAGUGAGAGCAAUGCAUACCAUGAAAGUGACACUGGGGUAGAAAUAUACGAAGCCCAAUAUACCUACUCAGUACCGUCUAGUGGGGGGCGUUUUGCUCGUUGUAUAUAUUAUGAGAUUCUGUGCAGACUCUAUCGAUGACACUUACUCACAAGGCGUUGGCCAACCUAGAGCUAUAGUAGAAGAUACCCAAAAUGCUGUGCAGUGGAACUGAACUCGAAACCACAUGGUAGCAAAGCAAGCUUGUUAACUGCACUCAUUUGAUAAGAGUACACCAAGCACAUGCAUCACAACCAUAUGUGCGCAACAUGGUAACUUUAUAUCAAGACAAACAGUACAUGACCUUGCAGCUGGAGCCCAGUUAGAAUUUUCUUCAGGUUGGGUAGCCCAUCACACUUAAAAGGUCCCUGAAUAAGGGUUGUGUGAGGGGGAUGAAUGAAACACCCAUGUUUCCAAAUGUGGAUUAUUCAAACUCCAAACAGUUCCUCCCAACACACGGCUAUGAUGCUCCUCCACUAUUUCUGCUUGAUCAGAGAUUCAUAUAUUGUCAGCCACCAAGGGACAUGCCCAGCUAGUUAUGGUCAAACAACUAGCAAGCAAAUCUGUGGUAUUGAGCAGAAUAUUUGUUGUAGCCCAUAUUUUUAUACCAAGACAAAAUAGCACAUGAUAACACUUCCAAUCAGCUAAGAUCAGAAGGCAUGAGAGCCAGUGCCUGGUACUGCAUCGGGGCAUUCAUUAAUUGGGGAAUUUAAUUGUUUGAAUUCUAUUGUUAAUUGUUUGUUUAUUUAUCGUUUACAUGCAUCGUCUUAACCCCACCAUCUCUUAUCUGUUUUGUGUAAUGUCCUUUUGAUUUUUAUGUAGGCCCUUGUGGCUAAUAAAGAUAUUAUUACUAUUAUUAUUAUUAUUAUUAUUAUUAUUAUUAUUAUUAUUGUUGCCAGCCUCGCCUGGCCCCCGUGCCGGUGGCACGUAAAAGCACCAUUCGUUCAUGUCCGUUGCCAGUUCCGUCUGGCACCUGUGCGGGUAGCACGUAAAAAGCACUCACUACACUCACGGAGUGGUUGGCGUUAGGAAGGGCAUCCAGCCGUAGAAACACUGCCAGAUCAGACUGGGCCUGAUGCAGCCUUCUGGCUUCACAGACCCCAGUUGAACCGUCCAACCCAUGCUAGCAUGGAAAGCGGAUGCUAAAUGAUGACGAUGAUGAUUAUUAUUAUUAUUAUUUCUAUUCACUUUUCAGAGCUCUUGAUUUCACUUGCUCCGUCUAUUUCAGUAAGAUUGGAAAACAACCUGUUUUCAAGGAUCUCACAGGGUCUCUUUCCACGAUACUUAACAUACAAGUGUCAAUCUCAAAAUCAUUGUUCUCCUCAAUACAGCAGCUUUUUGAACAUGUUCUACCCUUACGUCAAUUUCUCCAAUAUAUUCUUCUGGUUGUUAGUGCUUCCAGUACCCUGACAACAACUGGAAUGACAGUUACUUUCUUCAUUGCCCAGAUUCGUGCCAUCUCAUCUUUUAGUGGCUUGUACUUUUCAAUCUUUUUUAGUUCUUUGUUAUUCACUCAUACAUCCCCAGGUAUAGCAAUGUCUGUGGUCUUUGUUUCCUUUAUCAUUUUGUCAGCUACAAUGAUGUCUGGUCUCCGAGCAUCAAUCACUGAACCAUACUGGAUUGUAAAAUCCCACAAGAUCUUAUACUCAUUGUUUAUGAUGACUCUUUCUGGUUUAUACCAUUUCAAUGUCAUUUCAAGAUCCCACUUCUCACAUAAUCUCCAAUGGACACACGAUUAUCAUGCCUCAUUUUGUAUUAUUUUUGGGCCAAUUUGCUACAUUAACCCACAAUACAUGAGACUGUUUUACUUUUGCUGCCACACACACUACAAAGAAGCGAUUUACUACUUUUAUCUAUUUGGAACAUGGUGUAAUUAUAUAUAUAUAUAUAUAUAUAUAUAUAUAUACAUCCCUACAGUGUACCUAAGUACAUCUUAAUGCAUGGGCACAUUUGAUAGUUAUCCGGGUGCUUCACGGGUCAAGGACCCAAUUCUCAUUUAUGUAUUGUUUCUAAGAAACACUAUGGUACCCAGUUGAUUUGCCCGGUGGUGGUAGGACUAUAAUGCUGCUAAGACGACCCUGUACCCCUUAAGUACCAUUUGAGUAUACUGUAAAGUACUGUUUGAGAACCGCUAUCCUUAUAUAUUUGGCAAGUAUCAACAUUUGAAUUACAGAUUUCUUCAAUUUCUUCUCUUACGUCUAGUUUUCCAUUGAAAAGAAAUGGCAUUCCUAUGUCACCAAUGCAUGCUGACGUUAUGCUGUCCAACAAAACGGUAUUCCAGGUAAGACAUUAUCGACUUUUCUUAUUCAAUUCUUAUUUCAACAUGUAACUUGCACGUUUUUAUUACAACCUACUUUCCAGAGACUCUUAAUGCAAUGUGAAAUUCCUACAUUGAGCUGUCAAGAUAAGUCGUAUAUACACUUUUACUUGUUUCAGUCAUUUGACUAUGGCCAUGCUGGAGCACCGCCUUUAGUCGAGCAAAUGGACCCCAGGACUUAUUCUUUGUAAGCCUAGUACUUAUUCUAUCGGUCGCUUUUGCCGAACCGCUAAGUUACGGGGACGUAAACACACCAGCACCGGUUGUCAAGCGAUGUUGGGGGACAAACACAGACACACAAACAUAUACACACACACGUACAUAUAUAUAUAUAUAAACGACGGGCUUCUUUCAGUUUCCGUCUACCAAAUCUACUCACAAGGCCCGAGAUUAUAGUAGAAGACACUUGCCCAAGGUGCCACGCAGUGGUACUGAACCCGGAAAUAUGUGGUUGGUAAACAAGCUACUUACCACACAGUCAUUCCUACACCUAUAUGUUAAUAAUAAACUGUAAUUUAACCACAAGACCAGCAAUUUUGAGAGUUGGUGGUUUUAGUUGAUGCGAUCGACCUCAGUGCUUGUUGCUAAGGAUUUUUUUUAUCAUGGGGCUCACGUUCAAAAGCAACCACUCCGGUCAUCCUUUAUUUCACAAACCAUCACAAAUUGCUGAUAUUUCGUAUUCUGCCAAGUGUAUUUUACUGAGAGCAAUAAUAUUAAAACGAGCGGAUCAUUUCGGUUUGAACGACAAUUUUUUAAAAUAAUUUCCACGUAACAAAACAUUUCAAAACUUCGUAUACUGGUAGAAUGUGUUUAUAAAACAUAUUUUUCUCUUGGCUUUAUUGAGAAAAUUCUAUAGUUUGUAAGAUAUUUGUUGUUUUUUUUCUUCAAUUUCUGCAAUUUCUACCAAUCAAUGACGUCUAUUGAGGUAAAAAGACAUUCUGUGCCGUAUGAAAAUGUCCCUCGUUUAAGAAACAGAUUGGGUUUAUUUACAUUUGUGAAGAAAAAAAGAUACCCUUUCCCCCACCCCUAACCCUAAAACAGAUUGAAAUGCAAUAGAUCGAUACUAGGGUCAUAAUUAUGGGUGACAAUUUCAUAUGACACCGCUAGAAAAAACUGCCGUUCAAACCGAAAAGAUCCAAACGAGCUACUUCUCUAAUCACCACUUGUUCCAGAAAAACGUUUUCAAACUUGUUUUAGUUGUUUUUGACUUUUUGGGCUCGAUUUACCUAGCGCUUGAAUAAAAUAUACAUUGUAAAUGACGUCUUUGUUCUUGUUUUGGUUGUAUUUUUGUGGAAAUGAACUUGCGUCCAAGUACGACCUCUUUUUAGACAUCGGUGGCACUUCUUAAAAAACGUGAAGUGCAGCAGCAUGGUUGAUUGAAGAAACACGACGAAUACUUUCUAUGCUACACCUAUCGUAUAUCUUUCCAAGCAGCAGAACUAGAGAAGAGGCGGUAUUUCAUCGUCUGAUAACCCAACAGCCGCAACGACCACCUUUGAAAAGUUGUUUGUUUAUGGUCUAAGAAGUUCAUGCUCAUACAAAGCACCACAUGUCCUCUCGACGCCACAGCAACACAAAGACAGUCGUAUAUCAUGCCGAAGUGACGCCAACGGACCUCAGCGGGCAGUCGAACGUGUAGAAGUACGUUGGCGCGACAGGAGAUCCUUUCAUGACUAGGUUUAACACUCAUAAUCCUUGUUUGAUAUUCAAGAAAGACGUAAUGUCACAGCCCAGGCUAGGCAUAUAUGGUCGUUGAAAUAAAGUGACACGGAUUACAAGUGGAGAACACAUAGCGAAGUGCAAGCUUUAUUUUGACAAUAGAAGGAAGUGCAGGCUAAGUUUAGCCGAAAAACGAAGUAUCUUUAACAAUUCUCUUUUCCAGGAUAUCCACAUAAGCUGCAGGUGCAAAAUAUUUUGCUCGUCCCCAAAGCAGAAACGAAACGUGAUCGCUUAGCUACGGGUUUCACCAUAAUUAUAAACGCUAGGACCACGUGAACGAGGUCCUAGCGUUUACGCCCGUGGAUAAAUGUGAAAUUCUUCGAGUUUCUUAUGCGAAAUCUGUGAUGAGUGACCCUGAUGACUUGGAGUCUCCUCUGAUAUAUAUAUCAUAUAUAUAUAUAUAUAUAUAUAUAUAUAUAUAUAUAUAUAUAUAUAUAUAUAUGUAUAUAUUGGCAGGGCUGGCCUGCUAGGUAGCCGGCCAGAAUGCUAGAAGAAGAUCAUCAACGAUCAAACUACAAGGGAAAUUCUCUAGAGGAAGAAUUCAGCGAACACCAGAACCAAAUUUGGCGGGCAGGACAUAUGAAAAAUUAAAUAAAAAACAGACUUAAAUGCAUACCUCGGUUUCGGUCUUAACAAAAGAAUUACUUGCAUAAUUCAAGUGUCCGUGACUUCAUCAGUACAUUCGGUCCUCGAGAUGCAAACCGCAAGACUAACCCCAGAUUUUUUGAAUGCUGGACUACUGGUUUUAAAUUGAUAUUAAAAUUAAUAUUAAUUUAUCUCCCUCAAUUUUUAAAUAUUUAAAUAAAUACGUUCCCUAGUUGUAAGCAUUACCCGCAGUGAAUUAUUCACUGCAGCCCUUCGCUUCAGGAGUCUCUUAGCGCGCCAGAACCAAGACAUUUGAAAUUUUAUUCCCGAUGUAAUCAGUAAGACUAAGCACGUGUCUGUCUUGACACAGAGAGCUGGGGUUAGUCUUGCGGUUUGCAUCUCGAGGACCGAAUGUACUGAUGAAGUCACGGACACUUGAAUUAUGCAAGUAAUUCUUUUAUUAAGACCGAAACCGAGGUAUGCAUUUAAGUCUGUUUUUUAUUUAAUUUUUCAUAUGUCCUGCCCGCCAAAUUUGGUUCUGGUGUUCGCUGAAUUCUUCCUCUAGAGAAUUUCCCUUGUAGUUUGAUCGUUGAUGAUCUUUUCUAGCAUUCUGGCCGGCUACCUAGCAGGCCAGCCCUGCCAAUAUACACAUAUAUUUGAAUUUUCUCUGACUCCUCAGAUUUUUUGAAUGCUGGACUACUGGUUUUAAAUUGAUAUUAAAAUUAAUAUUAAUUUAUCUCCCUCAAUUUUUAAAUAUUUAUAUAUAUAUAUAUUACCGUACCUAUCUGGCAGUAUAUUGGAUAUAUAUUAUCCCAUGGUGGGUUGAAUUUUCAACCCCUAUCUCAUUUUAUAUAUAUAUAUAUAUAUAUAUAUAUAUAUAUAUAUAUAUAUAUAUAUAUAUAUAUGCCAUACGUGUUACAGGAACUGAAGAAUAUCAUGUCAUCUAGUAUAUAAUGGUCAUGUGAUAAUAAUUUUCAUUAUAUUUGGAAUUGUUUCAAUAGUACAAUAAUUAGUAACUUAUUUAGAAUUGGCUAUUAUAAUGAUGACCAUUCAAAGCUGAUUAGAAAUAUUUCUUGGGUCGACUCCAACCAUUACGGAGCAAUUGCCAAAAAUGUUGAAAAUAAUUAAAAAUGUAUUUCCAUAUUAUUGUAACCGUAUCUACCUAAACACAUGAACAUAUAGAAAAUGCCGGGGAAGAAAGCUAUUGGCGUUGGAAUCUCCGAAGAAACGAAAAAUGUUUCACCAUUUGCUGUUUUAAUGGAAAAGAUAAUUCUGGUCGGGUUGUAUAUGGGUUUUGUCGUAUCACUCGCUGUCGUUUUGGCUGGUUAUUACAUUUUCUUUUGGGAUCCAGUUCGUGGUAAUUACAGUAAGCAUCGAACCUACGCCUCUAAUUUACCUUCUUUGACGCAUCCUUUAUAAGGUAAGAAGAAUGUUUUAAAUUUCUCUAAAGAAAAACUUCUCAUUUGGCUUUUUAAUCCCAAUGGAGAAUAGGCCAUCGACUAUUCUCGUCUCUGAGUGGUUUAUUUAUUGAGGUGUUGUCCAUCGCUGAAGUAAGGCUUUCCUCUCCCAGGUCUUGCUGACUUUGAAUUGGUCAGAAGUCAGCAAAAAUACAUUUAAAUAAUGGCAUUUAAAAAAAAAAAAAAAUUAUCACUGAAGUUCGGUGGUUUUAAAUCACAAAAGUCAAUUUUACUUGUCAGAGUUUUGUUGGAUCAAUAGAAGUACCAGUUUUGUACUUGUUUUUUUAAAAAAUUAACUAUGUAUUUUUCUUACAAAACUUGACCCAUUUUUAAUCAAAAGAAAUCUAAUUUUCACUUUUCCAUUUGUUUGAAUAACAUUGAUACUUCAUACUUACACAAAACCUUCGCUUCCUAUGAAGCGUAAGUCAUCAAGGACUCUCUACUCUCAAGUCUGGUCUGUUUUUUCCUCUCCCAGAUUGUGUUGGUUUUCAAUUGUCAUCAAUGCUUCUGUAACUUUGCUUUUUUCUAGAUAGGGACGUUGACUCUACACAAACCCAUUUUUACCUCUGGUAAAAGGUGGCUCAUAUUAGUCUGGCCCCUAUCCUUUCAGCUGUUCACCAAUAUAUACAUAUACAUGCAUACAUACAUAUGUGUGUGUGUGUGUGUGUGUUUGUGUGUGUGUGUGUGUGUGUGUGUGUGUGUGUGUGUGUAAAGCAUUAAAAUAAAAAAACAUGCAACAUUCCUGUCAAACAUGAUAUGGGCAUUAAAAGAAGGUAGAACAAGCAAUCCCCAGAUAGAAUGGAAAAUUAUUGCUAAGGCCAAAAAAUACAGAGAAUGGGGCACCAAAUGUGAACUCUGCAUUACUGAAAAACUAAACAUUUAUUCAAUCAACAGAUAACAUCCUAAACAUUAGCGAUGAAACCUUCUCUCCUUGCAUGCACAAGCAGUAUUUUACUCUCAAAUACUUCAAAGAAGAGCCACAUCUGCGACGGUAAUCCUACCAGGAUAUCCCCUUUCCUGAAUGUGGAAUCUGAACACACAUAGGACACAAACUCCGCACACAGAAGAGAUAUACCCCAGUGACGAACUACCUAAGCUCACAAGUAUAAGAACACUACACUCAGAACAAAAACAAAAUAAUGCAAAUUGACCACACAAGAGUUUGCCCAAAAGGCAAAUCCAAGGGAGACAAACAUUCAAAAGAUGCCACCCAAGUGUAACGCCCCUUAAUUCAUUGUUUUAUUCGCGAAGUUUCACGAGAAUCUCCGCGAACUAAACGAGGUUGUGUUUUCCAAACUGGAGGCGAACACCUGUCUCCAUUUGAUCGGUUUGAAAAUUUUCUAAGACACUAGGAUAUUUUCUUACUUUUCUUAACAUGAAACGAAUGGUAGCCUUAAUUCACAAAUAAAGAAUAUAUAUUCACAAAUAAAAAAAAUUAUAUUAAGGCGGUGAGCUGGCAGAAACGUUAGCACGCCGGACGAAAUGCAUAGCCGUAUUUCGUCUGCCGCUACGUUCUGAGUUCAAAUUCCGCCGAGGUCGACUUUGCCUUUCACCCUUUCGAGGUCGAUAAAUUAAGUACCAGUUACGCACUGGGGUCGAUAUAAUUGACUUAAUCCCUUUGUCUGCCCUUGUUUGUCCUCACUAUGUUUACCCCCUUGUGGGCAAUAAAGAAAUUAUAUCCACCAAUGCGGUGUUGAACACUCAUUUUCAUCGUUCGACAUUUACAUAUAUAUCUAUACGAGCAAACGCACCCGCCCUUUGGAUGGUUUAACAUAUAAAUAAAUAAUAGAUAAAAAAAUGUGAAAACAACUAAAUAAUAUUCUGUAAUGCAAAUAUGCGACCAUGUAGAUUAAAAAAAUAUGGAAAACAGUCGAAAUAUAUAAAUAGACAAAAUCCUUUCACCUUUAUAGUAUUCUCUAAUCAAGACCCUCAAACAAUAUACACCAAUACACAUAUAAAAAAUAUAGAAAGUAAUAAUUCACAAUUACAACAUAUAAAUAAAUAAUUUAAAAGAUAGGAAAACCUCAAAAAAAAUAUUCUCUAAUGCCAAUAUACGACCAUAUAGAUUCAAAAAGUAUGGAAGACCCUACGUACAAAAAAAUUAUGUACAUACAACGAAUUAAAGAAAAACCCGUGUUAACCACCGAUUUUCUUGGUUUGUCCAUUUACGCGGGAGCUCUGAGCAAAAUGUUAUUCUUUCUCUAGUGGAAGCAACACACUUAUUUAAAGGUUGAUUCUUUGGCACAAAUCAUAUGUGAUUUACUCUUUUACUCUCUCUCUCUCUUUUACUUGUUUCAGUCAUUUGACUGCGGCCAUGCUGGAGCACCGCCUUUAGUCGAGCAAAUCGACCCCAGUACUUAUUCUUUGUAAGCCCAGUACUUAUUCUAUCGGUCUCUUUUGCCGAACCGCUAAGUGAUAGGGACGUAAACACACCAGCAUCGGUUGUCAAGCAAUGCUAGGGGGACAAACACAGACACACAAACAUAUACACACACACUUAUAUAUAUAUAUAUAUAUACAUAUAUACGACAGGCUUCUUUCAGUUUCCGUCUACCAAAUCCACUCACAAGGCAUUGGUCGGCCCGGGGCUAUAGCAGAAGACACUUGCCCAAGAUGCCACGCAGUGGGACGGAACCCGGAACCAUGUGGUUGGUAAGCAAGCUACUUACCACACAGCCACUCCUGCGCGUUUAAGAAAAGGCUAGAACGACAAUGUUAAAACGUAUUUGAAACAAAGGAGAACAGUCGUAAUAUCAUAAAGGACGGGUAAAUAAGCAUCCUUAAAGUGAAACAACGCAAUGGAAAAGAGGGAAGGGAACAUCACCUUUCAGGUGACUCAGAAUAGGUAAAGGUAAACUUGCCAAAGUUUAAAGCAGUUUAAAUAUGGAGAUUAAGAUUAAGAUUGUUUGGUAUUGGAUAUUCGUCUUGUACAGUGUUCCUAGUUAAUUUAACCACUGUGGCAGGUGGACGGUCGAAAUAAAUAGACGAAAUCCUUUCACUUUUAUAAAAAGAUUAAAAAUGUAUGGAAGAUCUUACAUAGAAAAAACUAUGUCCAUUUAGGUCCAUUUACGCAGGAACUCUGGGCAAAAUAUGGUGCAUAACAUCCUUGGGACAUAAGUAAUGUGCGUGCAAAGUUUGGUGAAAAUCGGUUGAGAAUCGUGGAAAUGUAUGCGCUAGUCAUUAUACACACAUAUACUGUGUGUGUAUAAUAUAUAUAUAGGCGCAGGUGUGGCUGUGUUGUGAGAAAUUUGAAAGAGCGAAAGAAGGAGAGAGCGAGAGAGGGAGAGAGAGAUAGAAAGAGACAGAGAGACAAACAGACAGAGACAGAAACAGAAAGACAGAGGCGGGGAGAAAGGAAGACCUAGAAAGAAAAACAGUGAGAGAGAAAAAGGAAUUCGUGCAUGAUAACGAAAUGUGUGUAUAUGGUGAGGCGAUAGUGACCGAGGAAAAAGGAAGUAACUACAUAUAUAUAGGGCAGAUGGGGGCAAUUUAAUAAUGAAGUGCUCUGUGAAGGUAAAGGCGUAAGAGUAAGCAAGCGAAGAAGGGGAGCUACUCAAAUAUACGGGAAAGAGAAGCACAUGGAAAAGCAACACUCGAUCCAAUGCUGGUUAACUCCAUUGAGACGAAGUUCUUAGUUAUAGAGAAAUCGCUUGUCUUCGAACUCGAGAAAGAAGACGAAGGUAUCACAAGAAGUAAUAGACGUAGGAGUGGCUGUGUGGUAAGUAACUUGCUUACAAACCACAUGGUUCCGGGUUCAGUCCCACUGCGUGUCACCUUGGGCAAGUGUCUUCUACUAUAGCCUCGGGCCGACCAAUGCCUUUGAGUGGAUUUGGUAGACGGAAACUGAAAGACGCCCGUCGUAUAUAUGUAUAUGUAUAUAUAUAUAUAUGUACGUGUGUGUGUGUAUAUGUUUGUGAGUUUGUGUUUGUCCCACCAACAUCGCUUGACAACUGAUGCUGGUGUGUUUAUGUCCCCGUAACUUGGCGGUUCGGCAAAAAGAGACCGAUAGAAUAAGUACUAGGCUUCCAAAGAAUAAGUACUGGGGUCGAUUUGCUCGACUAAAGGCGGUGCUCCAGCAUGGCCACAGUAGUCAAAUGACUGAAACAAGUAUAAAAGAGUUUAAAGUGUAUUGGAGAGUUGAUCUACAAAACCAUCUCGAUAAACACAAGAAAAAAAAACAGAAGCAACGGCCGAGGGGAAAAGAAUAACAAAAUGAAACGGAAACAAAACGAAUCAUAAUAACGUCUGAAGGUUAAAAGGUUAACAGCCUGAUGCCUGCAUCCGUGACUGUGAAAAAAAUAUGUGUGACGAAUGGGUUAAAUCCCUCCAUUGUUUUAUGGUACGUGGUCAUGUGGUAAGAAGCUUGCUUCGCAACCAUAUAGUUCAGGUUUCAAUCACACUGCGUGGCAUCUUGGGCAACUGUUUUGUACUAUAGCUUCGGGCCGACCAAAGCCUUGUGAAUGGAUUUGGUAGAGGGAAACUAAAAGAAGUUCGUCAUAUAUAUAUAUAUAUAUCGUCUGCCGAUGAAGGCAUUUUUUCCAAAUACGCCAGCUAAACUUGUUUUACUGUUUAUUAGUCGUAAGAUACCCGCUGUUUUUUGUCCAGUUUUUACCAUUAUUGUUUUUUGUAUUUUAUAUUCGUGUGGCAUCGUCCGUUUUUCUGUCCCUGUUUCGUAUACAUUCGAUCCUUCUUCCAAGAAAUCUAAUGCUCGUAGCUUAGUUUUUCCUUGGGGCUGGCCGGAUCGGAGCGAUCUCAAGAUUAAUCAGCCGAAAUUGCUAGGAUGAUCCGGUUCUUGACUGAAGAUUGAAGGCUUCGAAUGUCCCGUCCGUGUUUUUUGUAUCAUCUUCUAAAUGUUUUACGUUCCUGUCCCAGUUUGUAUUUUUCUACAUAUAAUAUAUAUAUAUAUAUAUAUAUAUAUAUAUAUAUAUAUAUAUAUAUAUAUAUAUAUAUAUAUAUAUAUGUAUGUAUAUGUAUGUAUGUAUGUAUGUAUGUAUGUAUGUAUGUAUGAAUGUAUGUAUGUAUUCUUCACCACUACCGAUUGAUAACGAGUGUUGGUGUGUUUACGUUCUCGUAAACUAUCGGUUCGGCAAAAAGGCCGAUAGAAUAAGUACGAGGCUUAAUAAAAACAUAAGUUUUGUGAUUAAUUCAUUCAUCUAAAAAUUGUUCUAGGCGGUGCUCCAGCAUGACCGCAGUCUAUUGACUGAAGCAAGUAAAAGAAACAUGAAUAUUAUGUAUGUACAUACGUACAUAUGUAUGUGUUUGUGUGUGCUUGUGUGUAUGUGUGUGUGCUUGUGUGUGUGUGUGUGUGUUUGUGCCGGUGCGUGUGUAUGUGUGCGGGCGCGUAUUGAAAAGGUGGCACACAAGGUUGACCAAGAAAUGUGUGUAUAUGUGUGUGUGUGUGUGUGUGUGUGUGUGUGUGUGUGUGUGUGUUUAUGUGUGUUUAGGUAUUUGUGAACCACCAGGGAUCUUUCUCUAGUACUAAUAUUAACCUUUGUCAUGGACCUUUGACAUUUGACAUAGACUUUUGAUCUUUGAUAUGGAUGUUUGACUUCUUACAUGGACCUAUGGCCUUUGACGUAAAUAUGUGACCCUAGGGACCCCGGCUGAGAACCGCUGAUCUAAGUAAUACUCUUUACUCUCUUUUACUUGUUCCAGUCAUUUGACUGUGGCCAUGCUGGAGCACCGCCUUUAGUUGAGCAAAUCGACCCCAAGACUUAUUCUUUGUAAGCCUAGUACUUAUUCGAACCUCUAAGUUACGGGCACGUCAACACACCAGCAUUGGUUGUCAAGCGAUGUUGGGGGAACACACACACACACACACACACACACACUCACACACACACACACACACACACACAUAUAUAUGUAGCGUGGCAAUUUCAGCCUUUUUGAAAUAUGACCAUAGCGAUUGUUAAUAUCUUGACUGUGUGAAGGGCAAGGCAGAAAUGAUCUCGUUUGAGGUUACAACCAUCUUUGGUCAACUUGUUCUUGUUCUAAACACUAACUUGAUUGGCUGACAGGUGACACGAGGGGUCUCUACGUAUUUCGCCCCACUGUUUGACAUGUGACACGAGGGUCCCUACGAAGUCCGCGCCACUGAUGGACACGUGACGCGAAUUGUCUCGACUUAUUUCGCGCCGCUGUUUGACAUGUGACACGAGGGUCCCUACGAAGUCCGCGCCACUGAUGGACACGUGACGCGAAUUGUCUCGACUUAUUUCGCGCCAUAAUUGCGAAUCAGCCAAUCAAGACUUUCGGUUAAAAUUCCAUUUUCUGGAGUUUGGUGAGCCAACCGAACAGUAUAUAAAGCAGGGUUUCACAGACACUUAGGUCUUGGGUUCCAGUUCUUUUGAGAACUAACUUAGGCCUCUGCUGCUCAACUUAGAGAUAUGCGAUUGUCUCUGCUACUACCUGUUGCUACGCUAAUCUAUACAAACACUGAAAGCCUCUCGAGUAGAUUCCAGCAUCUUGUCCUAUGAACAGUAAACUAAAUGCAAUUCUUAAUUCUAUGUUCAGUACCUUUGGGUAUGCUUCACGCCACCCGAACACACAGACACAAAACAUGCUAACGCUUACCAACUCUUAGAAUCCACAUGAUUGUAAAAUAUGUAAAAUAAAUAAUAUUUAUCUACCAACAGAAGACUUGUGUCAAUUCACUUAUGUUCUAUUAUCGUCUGUAUGUAUUUUAUGGCCUUGGAUAAUUCGUUAAGAGUAGAACCGCGUGCAAUCGUAUUUCCUACACGAUACGACCAAGCGUGAUCCUAUUUCUUACAUAUAUAUAUAUAUAUAUAUAUAUAUAUAUAUAUAUAUAUAUAUAUAUAUAGAUAAACUUAGAUAUGUUUCGACCAAAGAUUGGUCCAGGCCAUGUCUAACUUAAUAGUACCAUAUAUACGACGGGCUUCUUUCAGUUUCCGUCUACCAAAUCCACUCACAAGGCUUUGUUCGGCCCGAGGCUAUAGUAGAAGAUACUUGCCCAAGGUGCCACGCAGUGGGACUGAACCCGGAACCAUGUGGUUUGUAAGCAAGCUAUUUACCAAGUAGCCACUCCUAUUACGCUGAAGAUGAAGUGAAUAACCUGCAAAACUAUAGCAUUUUGAUGACAAUAAGCUAUCUCGGGAAUUAAGGAAGGUUAUAUUGACUGUAACUUCAUGAUUCGUAUUUUUCACAAUUAUACUGUUUACGAAAAUGUUGUCAAAUUCGAAAUAAACAUAAUUCGAAAUCUAUUAAGCAAAAUACAAGCUUAUGAUAAAAAUCGAAAAUACAAGGGCGGGAAUAUAAUAAUUUAUUAGAUUAUCAUAUUUGUAAAGCUAAUUAAGUAAUACUAUGCUUUGGACUUUGCUGCUGUCGAAGUAAUUAUCGCUCAUAACACGAAAGUGUUAUACUAAUUAUUUUAUUAACCAGACACUACCUUCAUAUUAUCCUAUAAUUUACUUUUAAUACUGAAACUAGCGUCUCCCCGAUUAAAUAUUUUUGUUUUUAUUUAUAAUCUUCUUUUCUGAAAAUUCUGUUAUAAUUUUCUGUUAGAUAUCUGUGGUAAUUGUUUUCCGAUUCCAUUUCAUAAUAACAUUGAUUCAGUUUUCUUCUCCAGUUUAUAUUCAUACUCAAAACUGC